UCAGGAAGCAGUGAGGAGCAUAACUCCUGAAUUCACUACCAACUAUGUUCAUAGUUGGCCGACCAGGCCACUUUUCUGCAUCUCCCUCCCCCCCGAGAGGCAGGGGUGUUUGCAGAGGCCACCAGCAUGUGAAGCCCUCUUAAAAUGACAGUGGCAUAAGGAAGAAAUAUACAGACUGAAAUGGUUUAUCUCUCUGUAGAGCCUUUCAACAGUCUUGUGGGAGUUUGGACAGUCGGGCUCAAAAAGGUUCACCAUCACUAGCCUUGCAGAAGAAAAAAAGUAUAAAAGCAACAGGAAAACAACAAACCAAGGGAAUGCUUCAAUUUGGCUGAAAGACACCACAAAAGGGAAGCAUCAUUGUCUAAAGGCAACCACUCUAAGUAAAAAGGCUGGCUGUUAAAUUGCCAGGAGGUGAGAACUUCUUCCAGCUUUGUAAGAUGGUGAACAAAUGGUUUGUGUGCAUGCGUGUUUGGGGGGCAACAGUCUCUGAAGUUGAUCCAGGACACUACUUUUUUU
rnacentral:lncRNA from 1 species